UUGCUCAUGUGACAUCUGUAGAAAUGGAGGACCUCAGUAUUUUGUUGAUGGGAAGUCACGUUUUACACUCCCUUUGUUUGUUUGUGCUCUCUCUCUCACACACACUCACUGGGAUGAUGGGGUCAGUCCUGUUUGUGUUUUAUUUAGUAACAUCUUAACAUCCAGUGGGGUAACACCUUUUGCAAAGUAUCUGUGACAACGCAGUGGUAAAUUACUCAAAAUUGUCAAACUAUUUCAUUGUCUGUAGCAGUAAUAAGUGCUUUAGCCACAGUUUGUACCAGAACACACACCACCUGGGAGACCGUGAUUGAAGAGCAGGCUCUCAAUCCUAUGUCUGACUAAGCAGGAAAGACAGAGUGUGUCACUAAACAUGAUUUACUCAUCUGCAGGGAAAACUGAUACAAACCUCCUGGCUGGUAGCACCUCUUAUGGUAUCCAUGGGCACCAUACAGGUAAAGUGCUGCAGUAAGAGACUGACAGAAGUUGGGAGGAGAACACAUACAACCUAACCAACAUUUUAGGGAAAAGAAUCUGUCUAUAGAGACAGUAUGUUAGAUUCUGAUCUGACUUACACUGUAAACUUUAUGUGACCUGGAAAUUAUUUACCACUUAAAGUGACCUUUCCAUGCAGGUAUACAAGCUGGAUUCUUUUUAUGAAAACUAGCCAGUGAAGCAGGGAGGUAUUUAAGAACAUCAUACAGCUCCUUGGCCAGGAGUCUCACUGAACACUAAGGAGCAAUCUGCAUUCAUUAUGUGGAAAGGGAUGACUCCAGGCCGUUGGCAUGAGAAACACGUGGAACACCGACAAGCCUACAAAACCCUGUUGUUCUCCUCUGUGCACAUUCUGAUCAUUUGGUAUAAAUGUACAUCAGAUCCUGAGUGCCUGAUUCCUAGAUAUUGAACUCAGAUAACAAGAAUUGCUAUUGAUUCUAAACAACAGGAAGCAACAAGUGGAACCAUCUGCAGAGGAACGUCACAGUGACAAGGCACUGAGCCACCACAGUGACCCCGGCACACAAGACUACAGCUCAGGUCGAUGUAGGUGCUCCGUGAAGCAACCAAAAGCAGCUGUUCCAGCAACAAGAGGUAAAGAACGCCUGGGCGAGGACUGGGCU